CCUGACCUCCUGAUCCGCCCACCUCAGCCUCCCAAAGCUUUUUUUUUUUUUAAUUGAAACCUAAUGCACCUAUUCAAUUUGAGGAGCCUGACCCAUUUUGAUCACUGGUGAACUCACAGGACUUUGCACAGUUUCCUGCAUACAGUACCUGUUCAAUAAAUAUUUUUGCUGCAAUAAACAAAUUCAUACAGCUUCCUGCCAAAUUGACAUGAAUGUAGCCUAGGGAAAAUGGUUGGGUACUAAUCCAAUGUCUUAGUUCUUUUGUGCUGCUAUCCCAAAAUACUUCAGACUAGGUAAUUUACAAAAUUUAUUUCUCACAGUUCUGAAGGCUGAGAAGCCCAAGAUCAAGGCACCAGGAGAUUCAGUGUCUGGUAAGGGCCUCUUCUUCCAAGAAGGCACCUUGUUGUUUCUUCUAGAGGUGAUGGACACUGUGUCCUCACAUGGUGGAAACAAGAGAGGAACGGGGCCUAGCUAGUUUCCUCCCAGCGUGGUGGCCUCAGCCACACCUGGAUUUAUUUGAGCAAUAGUUGGGGUG
rnacentral:lncRNA from 1 species